GAGGGAGUAUAAUCACUAAUGAAUUACAACCCUUUGGGGAGCUGAAGAAUUCCAGACAGACUUGAACUGGACAGCUUAGUCCAUUAGCAUCCCUGGCAUUGAGUGGCUUGAGGGCACUCGCAGCGCAAAGUACAUUUGCUUUAUGUUCAGAACCAAGGCUGCAGUGAUGUUGUGAGUGAUGCAACAACAGAUUGGGAAACUGAGGACCAAACAUAUGAAGUCAGC